UCUCAUGCCUCAGAUGGUAGGAGACUUUGGGACACUGCAUGGGAUGGCGAUGGCACCUCCAUAACCCUUUGUCCUGUGUCCUCUAGCCACUCACUUUGGAGGGCAAAGCUGUGGGUUCCAUAUGUGUCUGCCUUUCUUCAAACUUUGAGAAGAAUGAGCAGACUGCAGUAUGAUGAUGUCAUGAGAUUCCACAGUUAUCUUUGCAGCACAAUAUUGGAAGCCAACGAUAUGGAGCAAGACCAGAGACAUGCAGAAAAUCACCACACAAGUGCAGGGCUGAUGCACAUUUCCCACGAUUUGCCUCCAGCCAGGUCUGACACCUGUAAAGCUUCAAAUGAUAAUGCCACAUUGUGAAGACAAAAGGAAAAUGCAUUGAAGAUGUACCUGAAUGGCAGGAGGAGAAGGAUUCAUAUUGCUAAGUGUCGCUUAGCAACAUGAUAUGUGAGGAAUAUCUAUGAGAGACCCUACCAUGGGCCUGGACAUUUCUGAGUUUUCAUCUGAAUAUUAUACCAUGAUUCUUCCCACCACAAUUACAAUCUGGAUGUGUUUUUUAAAGAAAG